CACAAGGAUCUAGUUUUCUCUACGAGCAGCAGAAUCAAUAUCCGAUAGAAUAUAACAAUUACGGAUGAGGAGCCGCAACCGUAGCUUGUUGAGAUGUUGCAUAGCUUUCAGAGAACUAGGAAAGUAAUGGUGGACUCUCAUGAAGCACAAAGACAGAUAAUGUUUGAGGCAAAUUCCUUCACCGGCCCUGCGUAUGAGAAAUUCUGCAAUGAUGCCCAGCGGCAUGCUACUCUCAAGCUGGAGGUCGAGCUUAGGAACUGGAGGUCCUGCUUCGUGAGCUACGUCAGUGCUCAGAAGGCGUACAUCGAAUCCCUUGAUGGUUGGUUGUCCAAGUUCAUGCUCACAGACACCAUCCGUUAAUCCUGGGGAUCUCCUUGAUCGCGCUCGACAGGACCAGCGAGUAGCACACUACGCUGUCGACAACCGGAUCCUCCUCACAACUGACUCCGGCAUGGGCUUGCUCGCGCUCGACAGGACCAGCGAGUAGCACACUACGCUGUUGACAACCGGAUCCUCCUCACAACUGACUCCGGCAUGGUACCCAUUCCAACCCAAGAAGACGACUCAAGGGAGGACUGAUCUAUAUGUAGGCAGAUGGAUGAAUUCCAAGCCAUGAGAUAAAGUACCCUAAACCAAA